UGGGGAUUGGGAAUGUACACAUGAUCUUUUUUAUAUAUAAUAUAAAAUUAAAGAUGAAAUAUUAAAAUAAAUUAUAUUACAUCUUCACCACCAUUAGUGAUAGAGCUCUUACCUGCUGAAUAUAAUAGAAAGUAAAACAGUAAUUAAUAAAAUGUAACAAGUCACAAUGAUAAUUCUUAAUUGGUCAUUAUCAUCAACAAUUCAAGUUAUAUCUGUCUGGUUUCUUCAAACCAUAUUGAUUUUUGAUUGUAUCCUGCCAUUUUUUGCAGGUGUCUUUUUUUUGUAUAUAAAAACUAUUGAAAGGGCUCACAGGCCAAAUGAUUUAUGGGAAAAAAUCAAACUUCCCCGGAACUAUGAAAAGGCAAUGGAAAUCAUUGACAAACAUAUGGUGCAAACACUUACAAUUUCUUACAAAAUAAUAUAUUAUCAAAUAUUUAAUUUAAUGUAAAACAUGUGUUUGAUUUAUUUUGUUUUAGCAAUAUUGGCCAAAAUUCCUUGUGCACAAAAUAAAACAAAGACUAACUAAAAUGACUCAAUAUCGCAUACGAAUGCGGAAACUUCAGCUAAAAGUGAGGUAUAAUUUCUUUAUUCAUUUUGUAUGAUAGAUUUCAGACUAUUAAUUAUUUUUUCUCCAAGAAGUAAAGGUUUUCUAAUGAGUAGUGGUAUAUGGGUAUAUAUAUUUUUGUAAAUUGGGUAAGGCCAGCUGUAUUUCACAAAAGAAAUUUUCUUUGCAUUCCUUGAAAAAUGUAGAAUAUUUAGACCAUGUACUUUUUUGGCAGUUAUUUAUGAUUUAAGACUACAACAAACUUUUCGCCUAGGCGUCGCAUAUGCGACCAUGCGCUCCAGCGCAUGUAGGCGUUUGCCUUCAUGCGCUGGAGCAGGUUAGGCGGAUUCGGGUCGGAUCCGCCUAACCCAAUAACCCAAAGAAAAUAAAAUAAACACCUUAUUUGCAGAUCUGCCCAUUCCCAUAGCGCACUCGCAAACCCUAGCUCCGCCCACGGACACUAGAUCUGCACUCACAAGCACUAGAUCUGCACUCGCAAACACUAGAUCUGCACUCGCAAACCCUAGAUCUGCACUCCCACAGCACACUCGCAAAAGAAAUCCCGAUUUCUAACCUUAGGG
rnacentral:lncRNA from 1 species